GAUGAACGCUAGCGGCAGGCUUAACACAUGCAAGUCGAGGGGUAUAGGUUUUCGGACCUAGAGACCGGCGCACGGGUGCGUAACGCGUAUGCAAUCUACCUUUCACAGAGGGAUAGCCCAGAGAAAUUUGGAUUAAUACCUCAUAGUAUAGCAGUUUCGCAUGAAACCACUAUUAAAGUUCCGACGGUGAAAGAUGAGCAUGCGUCCCAUUAGCUAGAUGGUAAGGUAACGGCUUACCAUGGCUACGAUGGGUAGGGGUCCUGAGAGGGAGAUCCCCCACACUGGUACUGAGACACGGACCAGACCCCUACGGGAGGCAGCAGUGAGGAAUAUUGGUCAAUGGACGCAAGUCUGAACCAGCCAUGCCGCGUGCAGGAUGACGGUCCUAUGGAUUGUAAACUGCUUUUGUACGAGAAGAAACAACAUUACGUGUAAUGUCUUGACGGUAUCGUAAGAAUAAGGAUCGGCUAACUCCGUGCCAGCAGCCGCCGUAAAAC
rnacentral:rRNA from 1 species